rnacentral:rRNA from 1 species
CGUGGGGAACUUGCCCCAUAGUCUGGGAUACCACUUGGAAACAGGUGCUAAUACCGGAUAAGAAAGCAGAUCGCAUGAUCAGCUUUUAAAAGGCGGCGUAAGCUGUCGCUAUUGGAUGGCCCCGCGGUGCAUUAGCUAGUUGGUAAGGUAAAGGCUUACCAAGGCGAUGAUGCAUAGCCGAGUUGAGAGACUGAUCGGCCACAUUGGGACUGAGACACGGCCCAAACUCCUACGGGAGGCAGCAGGC